rnacentral:lncRNA from 1 species
ACUCCAGGCAGGAGAGGUCCCUCUUCUUUCUUAUCUUGUAGCACUUUAUGUUAAGUAUAUGAAGAUGGAAGAAAUAUAAGCAAGCAGCUCUUGAGCUUUAGAGCUCUGGCUCUGGCUUUCCUGCUCUGAUGAUGCUCUUUUGGUGAUGACUGGCUCCAUGCCCUGUACUUUAUUGGGGAAUUAACUCACUCACCUCACAAAAGACUACAUUGACUAAAUGAACCCCUCCGCUGGUGGCCUACAGCAGACACUAGUGUCGGGGGCGGAGACGGGUGGAGAAUCCCCGCAGUCCCUGGCCUGACUCUCCCGACAACACAGAAGAUUGUGGAAGAAUCAGACAGAGAUCGAAGUUGUACUUUUAUUCAGCAAGCAUGCAAGAGUACAGCUGCCUUUUCUCAGCGAGACAGGCACCAGUCAUUCAAUGAUGUCCACUCACAUUGAGGGUGGACCUUUCUGUCAGUCUGCAGCCUACCAACUCACAUGUUAAUGUCCUCUGGAAACUCUCACAGACUGCUGUGGUGUGGACAUCCCCUCCAAAACUCACAUG